AGGGUUUGAUCAUGGCUCAGAACGUACGCUGGCGGCACGCCUAAUACAUGCAAGUCGAACGCAGUAGCAAUACUGAGUGGCGAACGGGUGAGUAUAAUGUGGGUAUCUGCCUUUUGGUUUGGAAUAACACGAGGAAACUUGUGCUAAUACCGGAUAAGCCCUUACGGGGAAAGUUUUAACGCCGAAAGAUGAGCCCGCACUUGAUUAGCUAGUUGGUAGGGUAAAAGCCUACCAAGGCUACGAUCAAUAGCUGAUCUGAGAGGAUGAUCAGCCACAUUGGGACUGAGACACGGCCCAAACUCCUACGGGAGGCAGCAGUAGGGAAUCUUGCACAAUGGGGGAAACCCUGAUGCAGCGAUGCCGCGUGAGUGAAGAAGGCCCUUGGGUUGUAAAGCUCUUUCGUCGGGGAAGAAAAUGACUGUACCCGAAUAAGAAGGUCCGGCUAACUUCGUGCCAGCCGCCGCGGUAAUAC
rnacentral:rRNA from 1 species